UACGUAGGGGGCAAGCGUUGUCCGGAUUUAUUGGGCGUAAAGAGCGUGUAGGCGGCUAGAUAGGUCCGUUGUGAAAACUCGAGGCUCAACCUCGAGACGUCGAUGGAAACCAUCUGGCUAGAGUCCGGAAGAGGAGAGUGGAAUUCCUGGUGUAGCGGUGAAAUGCGCAGAUAUCAGGAAGAACACCAAUGGCGAAGGCAGCUCGCUGGGACGUGACUGACGCUGAGACGCGAAAGCGUGGGGAGCAAACAGG
rnacentral:rRNA from 1 species